GCCACUGUGGCUUAGCGGUAGUGCCUUGUUGCACCGCCAAAUAGCGACGCCUUGGUAAGGCGUAGGUCGAGGGUUCGAAUCCCUCCAGUGGCUCCA
rnacentral:tRNA from 1 species